rnacentral:lncRNA from 1 species
CCACCACCCUGUGAAUCUGCCUGCACAGUACCAACAGACGUGGAUAAGUGGUUCCAUCACCAGAAAAACUAAUGAGAUUUCUCUGGAAUACAAGCUGAUAUUGCUACAUCGUGUUCAUCUGGAUGUAUUAGAAGUAAAAGUAGUAGCUUUUCAAAGCUUUAAAUUUGUAGAACUCAUCUAACUAAAGUAAAUUCUGCUGUGACUAAUCCAAUAUACUCAGAAUGUUAUCCAUCUAAAGCAUUUUUCAUAUCUCAACUAAGAUAACUUUUAGCACAUGCUUAAAUAUCAAAGCAGUUGUCAUUUGGAAGUCACUUGUGAAUAGAUGUGCAAGGGGAGCACAUAUUGGAUGUAUAUGUUACCAUAUGUUAGGAAAUAAAAUUAUUU